ACUUUCAGUUAAGUCACUAGUCAAGAAAAAGCAAUCAAAAUGAACACAAAAGUCGCCAUUUGUCUGAUCCUUCCCUGUAUCAUCGCACUGGUUUCCUGUGCUUAUUUACCUGGUAACUACGGAUACCAACAACCAAGACAGGUUGCUCCUUAUGCAAACUAUGCUGCCAAUAGUUACCAGGGUCUGAAACAGGCUAGACUUUUCAACUACCUUCUAGGAGGACUAUAUUUCCUGAACCUGUUCAAUUUCACUGGAAACCGAAUUGCUGGUUAAAGCCUGUAUACAGAGUUUGAUGCAGACCAAACUCAGGUGGUACCGGGAUAAUUAGAUGCAGACUAAACUCAGCUGUUACCCGGAUAAAUGCUUUAGUUUAUUUAUUGUGGAUUAUAAAAAUAAAAUUCAAAAUUCAAAAAAUUA